GAUGAACGCUGGCGGCGUGCCUAAUACAUGCAAGUCGAGCGAACAGAUAAGGAGCUUGCUCCUUUGACGUUAGCGGCGGACGGGUGAGUAACACGUGGAUAACCUACCUAUAAGACUGGGAUAACUUCGGGAAACCGGAGCUAAUACCGGAUAACAUAUUGAACCGCAUGGUUCAAUAGUGAAAGGCGGCUUUGCUGUCACUUAUAGAUGGAUCCGCGCCGUAUUAGCUAGUUGGUAAGGUAACGGCUUACCAAGGCAACGAUACGUAGCCGACCUGAGAGGGUGAUCGGCCACACUGGAACUGAGACACGGUCCAGACUCCUACGGGAGGCAGCAGUAGGGAAUCUUCCGCAAUGGGCGAAAGCCUGACGGAGCAACGCCGCGUGAGUGAUGAAGGUCUUCGGAUCGUAAAACUCUGUUAUCAGGGAAGAACAAAUGUGUAAGUAACUGUACACAUCUUGACGGUACCUGAUCAGAAAGCCACGGCUAACUACGUGCCAGCCGCCGCGGUAAAAC
rnacentral:rRNA from 1 species